CGGGAAGAGCUCAAAUUUGAAAUCUGGCGUGCUCAGUGCGUCCGAGUUGUAAUCUAUAGAGGCGUUUUCCGCGCCGGUCCGCGUCCAAGUCCCUUGGAACAGGGUAUCAAAGAGGGUGACAAUCCCGUGCUUGACGCGACCGCCGGUGCUAUGUGAUACGUCUUCUAC
rnacentral:rRNA from 1 species